CUUUUUACCCCAUUGUUUAUAUUACCAGCCCUUUUCUAGAUACAGCUUGUACGUGGAGAGCCCCGGCUGAACAAAAUGUUGCUUAGAGAUAUAGCUUCUGCUAUUAGCUGGUGAAGAUGAGUCAUGGAAGCAGCUCACUUGGGGAUAUGACUAGUAGGAGGGCUUUUGAGUUCGGGAGGACACAUGUUAUCAAACCCAAGGGGAGACAUCAGGCCACUAUUGUCAUGGUUGGUGACUGUCUGGGAACCUUCAUUGAAACCUUUAAAGCUUCUUUCCUGCCAUUCUUUGAGGAAAUUUCAAUUUAUGUAACAACAAUGCUGAUACUAUGAUACCUACUUGCCAUUCUUAUUGUAAGCACGCAACGAUGAAAGUUCAGAUGUUAGACAGGCUAGUCUAUGAACUGCAGAUUUUCUGUUUUAUAGAAGACUUGCUGAUUCAAAUCUUUGUCCGAGAGGCUGCCUUGAGGUGGAAAAUAUUGAUCAUUGUACAACUACAUGUUUGAAACUGCUUCAGAAAUAGAGUGAAGCAUGACGAUGUGGAAGAGAGUGAUUUGUUGUGGCUAAAGUCAUUAGUUUUAUGACUAUUCUACACAAAGACGAUCAUUUUGGGUAACUGGGGUACUAAUCAGUCCUCUGGACUGUUCAACUUUUGGCACCCUCCUCCCAAAUGGUACAAAAUAAACAUUGAUGGAUCCCUAUGUAAAUCGAACGAAGCUGGAAUUGGUGGAGCAGUUAGAGAUUGUAAAGGUAGAUUUUUAAUAACCUUUGGCUGUGGUUAUGUUCAUUGGAAUAGUGCACAGUUGGAGCUAUUGGCUUUUAAAUAUUUGAGAAAUUUUAUUCAAGAUUGGAUGUUUGAGGCAAAUGGAAUCAUCAUAGAAGGAGAUAAUCAAAAUGUCAUCAACUUUCUCCAUAAGUUGUAUAGCAUACUGGAGAAGAUGAUGGGAGGACAAAUGAAUGAAGACAUACUAUUCAUGAAGAAGUUCAAUAAUGUUUUUUUAAUUUUGUUAAUCGUCAAUGUAAUAAGUUAGCAAA